rnacentral:rRNA from 1 species
UACGGGGGGGGCAAGCGUUGUUCGGAAUUACUGGGCGUAAAGCGUGCGCAGGCGGCUUCCCAAGUCAGUGGUGAAAGCCCGGAGCUCAACUCCGGAACUGCCAUUGAAACUGUGAAGCUCGAGGACGAGAGAGGUGAGUGGAAUUCCCAGUGUAGAGGUGAAAUUCGUAGAUAUUGGGAAGAACACCGGUGGCGAAGGCGGCUCACUGGCUCGUUUCUGACGCUCAUGCACGACAGCGUGGGGAUCAAACAGG